rnacentral:rRNA from 1 species
ACGCCUUCGCCACUGGUGAUCCCACAGGGAUUGCAAGAUUUCACUCCUACCCCCGUAGUACCUCUUACCUCUCCCGGUCCCAAGCCUGGCAGUAUCCCCCGAAAGCCUAACGGUUAAGCCGUCAGAUUUCCCGGAAGACUGACCAAACCGGCUACGGACCCUUUAGACCCAAUAAUAGUGGCCACCACUCGGGCCGCCGGUGUUACCGCGGCGGCUGGCACCGGUCUUGCCCGGCCCUUGCUAACACAUGUUAUUUAUACAUAUGGACAGCCAACAUAGGAUGCUGGCACUCGGUGUCCCCUUGUCGCGGUUUCCCGCAUUGUAAAGUUUUCGCGCCUGCUGCGCCCCGUAGGGCCUGGAUUCAUGUCUCAGAAUCCAUCUCCGGGCUCUUGCUCCCACAACCCGUAUCCGUCGUAGGCUAGUAGGUACGUUACACCCACUACAACCUGAUAGACCGCAGACCCAUCCUUAGGCACAAAAGCUUUCGACCACGGUGCAUUCCAGCAUCCAUGAUCUAUCCGGAAUUAUCCCCAGUUUCCCGGGGUUAUGCCAGACCUAAGGGCAGGUUAUCCACGUGUUACUGAGCAGUACGCCAUGUUCACGAAGAACAUUUGACUCGCAUGGCUUAGUCGAACACCGAUAGCAGUGACCUCUGGCAGGAUCAACCAGA